AAGACCCAGGAAAUAAUGAACUUCUCGAUAAAUCAACAGCUGUGGUCGUGUGGCAUGGUCCGGCACCAGGUGGGCUCCGGAUGCUUCAUAGAAAGCAGAUUUUGGGGGACAAUCGGGCAGAGCCUUUCCCCAAAGAGCUCAGGCCGAACCCUCCAAAGCAAAAAUGUGGCUAAAUUACCCCAAAUAAUUACCCAGGAGCUGCUUUUCACACGGAGGGGGCAGCGGGACCCCUGAGGGUGAUGCUGAGGGCACCUGGGGCCAGGGCCAAACACCGGGCGAGGGCUGUGCACGUGUCAUUUGUUGUAGGCAUUUCAGAACAUCUAAAAAUAGAUAUUAGGCUUUAUUUUAUUUUAUUUUUUCUGCCCCCUGCCAGAACACGGCUGUGUCUCAACCAUGAACACCAGCUGUGGGUUUUGCUCUUGCUUCGGAAAGGCUUCCUCAGAGACUCAGACAAAAAGGAACGCUGCUCCACCCUCUCCCUGGCGCACGAAAUCCGGGAGGAAUCACAAGAUUACAGCCCCAAAAACCCCGCUCUGGGGGAACUUUCCCCAACCCGGGUGGAAAGCAGCCCCGUGGACCCCGCGGCCCCGUAAUCCAGACCCUGCUCCAAGCCCUGGCUGAGGGAACAAUUGCAGGCAAAGCCAGUGGGAGUUCAAAAGGAGCAAUACUGAAUUAAACGAUGGCAAUUUCCCUUAUUUUCCGCCGCUUAAAGGUGCACGCUGGGAAUGUUUAAAUAUCCUUGUUAUCCCCUUCAAUACCUAGAGAACAUUUUUUUAACGAGCAGGGCUGUAAUCAGGCCGCGUUCGUGCCAGGCAUCUCUUACUAACAAACGCCAUUCUCCAAAAGAGCUGUCCAGAGCCCAUCCAGAGCCCUUUGAAGCAGAAGAAAAGGCACCUGCUGGACUGAGCGCUGCGGGCAGCUGUGCGAGCCGGGCGGUGUUUGGGAACUCGCCGGCGGUUUGCAGAAACUAGCGGGAAUUAACCCCAAACAGAAACGCGAAACAAAUCAAAAUAGGAGAUAAGGCGAAAGGGGGGAGGAAAGUCCCUCCGCCUGUCGCCUCCCGAGCUAUUUUCCAAUUUGGGGCCAUUCACGGAAGAAAUCCGUAUUUUCCGAGGUUGGUCGUGCCCGGGCCGGAGCCGCCCGGGUCCCCCAGCAUCCUGGCACCCGGCGUUUCGCUAAUUACCAGGCGCUUUCCCUAAUUAGCGGCCGUUUUCUCCGGGCUGCCGCUGCCGGGAGCGAGCCGGGGCCGUGCUGCCCGUCCUGCCUUUUGCUUUUUGGGGGCCCCAGCGAGCUCUUUGUGCCCUAGAAGCCCCCCCAAAAGCCCCCUGAGCUCCCCCCGCCCUGUUCAGCCCCGAACCGGGGGCGCAUUCGCUCGGAAACGCUCCCCGCAUCUCAGCCCCGCCGCUUCGCCUAUAGCUUACCAUAUUUGCAUAUAUGCUAAUGAGCCCCCUAAUUGCCAGGCUGCGGCGCUUCGCCGAUCGAUUUCCAGAAAUCCAGAGGUGAAGGGAGCUCGGAAAUAGCGCAGCUCCCUUCCCCCGGCGGACCACCUCCCCCCGCCCCCCCCAGGACGGAGCUGUCCCCGCGUUUUGCAGCGCAACUUUUGCACAAGGAGCCCCGGCUGCGCCGCGGGGAGGCUGCGGGGAAGGCUCCGCACCCGCUCCUCCGGAUCCCCGCGCCCGGCUCCGGCCCCGCUCCGCCGCCGACGAAUCCGGCCCCGGCCCCGGCGCGGGGGCUGCGGAGGUGG